rnacentral:rRNA from 1 species
CUAGGAUUAGAUACCCUAUUAUUUUAAAUAUAAAAUGAAUUAAACUUGGGUAGUAAUAGUUAAGAUCUUGAAACUCAAAGAAUCUGGCGGUGUUUUAGUCUAUUCAGAGGAAUCUGUCCCGUAAUCGAUAAUUCACGAUUAAUUUUACUUAUUUUUGUUAUUCAAUUUGUAUACCGCCGUCAUCAGAAUAUUUUUUAAGGAGAGGAAUUUUCUAUAAUUUUAAUUGAAUUAUAUGUCAGGUCAAGGUGCAGUUUAUGGAUAAGUGGAGAUGGAUUACAAUAAAUUUAUUUAUUAUGAAUAAAUAAUUGAAAAUAAUUUUGAAGGUGGAUUUGAAAGUAAAUUUAUUUUAAUGGUAAGUUGAUUUUAGCUCUAAAGCAUGUACACAUCGCCCGUCGCUCUU